CCUACGGGAGGCUGCAGUGGGGAAUAUUGGGCAAUGGGCGCAAGCCUGACCCAGCAACGCCGCGUGAAGGAAGAAGGCUUUCGGGUUGUAAACUUCUUUUGACAGGGAAGAGUUGAAGACGGUACCUGUCGAAUAAGCCACGGCUAACUACGUGCCAGCAGCCGCGGUAAUACGUAGGUGGCAAGCGUUGUCCGGAUUUACUGGGUGUAAAGGGCGUGUAGCCGGGUUGACAAGUCAGAUGUGAAAUCCUGGGGCUUAACCGCAGAACUGCAUUUGAAACUGUUGAUCUUGAGGACUGUAGAGGCAGGCGGAAUUCCUAGUGUAGCGGUGAAAUGCGUAGAUAUUAGGAGGAACACCAGUGGUGAAGGCGGUCUGCUGGACAGCAACUGACGGUGAGGCGCGAAAGCGUGGGGAGCAAACAGGAUUAGAUACCCGUGUAGUC
rnacentral:rRNA from 1 species